UUUUCCUAUUUAGAAUUUAGUCAUUUUAUAAUCUUUGCAAAGAACGGUACUCAUUCUUUAUAAUAUAGUUCCUUGUAUAAUAAUUAUGUUUUAUUAUAAAGUUGUUCUAUCGAUAACUUUGUUUUGUUUUAUGAGUUGUAGUGAAUUAAAAGAAGAUGAUAGUGACGUAAAAGAGUGCAUUGGUAAGGGACUUUAUACUAGAAUAUACUAAAUUUUACAAUUUAUUAAUGAAAAAUAAACAUUGUAGAGUUUCGUUUAUCUUUAGACCUUAAUAUUUAAAUCUUUAUUACGAAGACAAACUUCAUCCCUAUCCAUUUAUAUCAAUUUAAUAAUGAACAGACUUCAAGGUUCUGGUCGCUCUGAUAAAUUUGUAUAUUGAUAUUACGAGGAUAGGGAUUAUUUAUUUUAUAUUUUUUCAUUAUUCUCAAAAAUUCUAUGUACUUUUGAUAUAAUUGUGGGGGGGUAUGUAUCUACCUAUUUGUUCCACAAUAGGUGUCGUGUGGCACAAAUGCGCAAUGCAAUUAAUGUAUUAAAUUUGUUAAUUUUUUUUUUAUAUUAUCGAUAAUAUAAUCAAUGUGUAUGAAAAACGAAGCAAAUACAGUUUGCCAGCGUAUAUUACAAAAUAUAUUAGAUACGAUAUAUUAUAAUUAUAUUGUUAGUAAAUAAGUUUAUUUUAUGUAGGUACUAUAGGUACUCUGUAUUCGUAAGUUGAAAAUCAUUUUUUUUUGCGCACACAGGUUUUGGUGAAAAUAUUGUGACCCCAUAGAGUUAACAGUAGUUCUACAAUGCCACGUUGCGAAAUCGCACAGCUUGUACAUUAUACGUAGUCACAACUUUUUCACCAUAUUCCAGGUGCGCAAAUAAAAAAAGUGCGUCAACUUACAGGAAACACGUUUUUGUUAUUUAAAAUUUUUUUUUAUCGAUAUUAAAAGGUUGAAAUGUCAUUACGUGUAUAAAAUAUAAUAUUAUACUUUAAAAGUUUAAAAGUUCCAAGUACCUAUGAAUAAUACAUUUAUGUUACAACAAAAUAACUAAAUUUAUUACCCACCGUAUAAAAACCUAAUUCUGUAUUAUAUUAAUUUUUGAAUAUUUAAUGAAAUAUAAGUUGUGUGCCAGUAUUUUGUAGUGUCCAGUGUAAGUUAAGGUCAUUCAUUCGUUUCAUUAUAUCCAAUAUCUAUUUCAAUAAUAUAAAUAAUCACAUUGCCAGGUAAUACAUAAUAAUUU